rnacentral:rRNA from 1 species
UGUGAACUGCAGGACACAUGAACACCGACACGUUGAACGCAUAUGGCGCAUCGGACGUUUAAACCCGGCCGAUGCACACAUUCUUGAGUGCCUACCAAUUCCUUGAUACACAAACUUUACUACAGGGCGCGCAACGUGCAGCGAACCAAAGCACUACCGGGCGAGCAAACCGUCCGUAGGGCCGCUGAUCAACGCGUUCGCGCACUGUGCAUACUGGCGUGCUCGGCUCCCGCUCGGGACCGGGGGCGCUGAAAGGUAAGGCAGAUUAACCUAAAGAGAGUGGUCAAGUCGCGAGGAUCGUACUCGGUUGAAGAUCUGAGACCCCGGCAGCCUCGUUCCACCUGGUUGUUCGCUAGUUUAUCAGACCCAAUCUUCGCCAAGUCGUGUAACACUUGCGAUCUACAUACCGCGCUCCGGUUGAUGUGCCGUCGAACUUACCUUUCAAUAUACCAAGUAGGCCUCAAGUGAUGUGAGACAACCCCCUGAAUUUAAGCAUAA